rnacentral:rRNA from 1 species
CAGUAGCCACGGUAAUACGGAGGGUGCAAGCGUUAAUCGGAAUUACUGGGCGUAAAGCGCACGCAGGCGGUUUGUUAAGUCAGAUGUGAAAUCCCCGAGCUUAACUUGGGAACUGCAUUUGAAACUGGCAAGCUAGAGUCUUGUAGAGGGGGGUAGAAUUCCAGGUGUAGCGGUGAAAUGCGUAGAGAUCUGGAGGAAUACCGGUGGCGAAGGCGGCCCCCUGGACAAAGACUGACGCUCAGGUGCGAAAGCGUGGGGAGCAAACAGGAUUAGAUACCCCUGUAGUCCCUGUCUCUUAUAC